AGAGUAAUCAUCGGUACCUUAGAUGCCCUGGUAAGACAUAUGCAUGACAAAGGAUGAAGAGUGAAUCCCGUAAAAAUUCAGGAGGCCAAUUUGUCUACGGUAUGUUCAAAUAUCACCUCCCAAGUUAAAGACAAUUUGCUACACUGGGAACACCUACCAUUAAAAAAAUUAUUGUGCUUAAUUGGCCCGUUAAAUUUUAAAGAGAACACUUCCAUAUUUGAAUGUAUUGUUCUAACUCAUUUAUGAAGCAACCCUUUGGACUACAGGGCAAAAUACCUUGCCCGUUAGCUUUUAUGAUUCAGUGAAUUGAAAAGACCCUCAGUGUGUCUAUAAGUUUAUUGGGAGGCUGUGGCAAAUUCAUGUGGCAAAUUCCAAUAGGAAAAUCACAGAGCAUGCCCCUGAGUUUUGCAACAAAGCUCCACUCUCUUCAGCAAGUAGCUUUUCUUCUAAAAACCAGCUCUUGGCUUGCUAUUGGAUCCUGGUUGAAAAUGAACUAAUCCAGGCUGCUAUAAAUGAAAUGGGUGUUUUGUGUUGCACCAGACUGAAGGCAUCAUCAGGAGUGAGCAGAAGCAGACAUAACAGCAGUGGAGACACAUACUUACAGGAAGGUAGUUGUACAAAGGGAGGUAUCAUUUUCAGGGCCUUUAGCUUGGGGACAAGUAUUGUUGGCAUAGCACAUGAGGCAGCAGAGACACCAGCAGAGAAAACUUAAUUUUUCUGACCUGGGAAAUUAGAAAACUGAUUCGGGAAAACUGUUGUUUAGAGUGGGAAAAACUUUGGAACAGAAAAAUCCAAGAAGAGAUUCCAAAAUAUGUCUACCCACAUCUUUGAGUGACUUAGGAACCUGCCUUCAUAGAAUAGACUCAAAGCAGCUUAGCUAAUGACAAACUACCUAAACUGAGAACAGAGCCACCAUCUAAUAAAGUUUUCAGUUCAAGUUCAAACAAGACAAUUGCCUGCAAAAUUAAAACAAGCAUUGGAGAAAAUGUUAUAAUGUCCAAAAUUACCAAAGUAAAAAGAACCAGGAAAAGGAAACACAUUCUCAAGAGAAAACAAAAUCACCUGUGAAUCACCCCAAGAUGACUCAGAUAUUUAAACUAAUAAUUGAUGAUUUUCAAGUGGCUAUGAUAAUUAUCUUUAGCAGGUACAAUAAAUAUGUUCUCAAUAAGUGAAAUUUUACAAAAUCUCACCUUAGAAAUAGAAAUAAUAACAAUGAGCCAAAUGGAAAUUCUAAAACUGAAAAAAUAAAUUAUCUGCAAUAAGUAAUUCUUCUCCUAAAAAUCAAUUCUUGGCUUGCUAUUGGGUCCCAGUUAGGUCCUAGAUGAAUAAAUGUAAUAGCUGAAUGGAGAUGUCAGAGGAAAGAGUAAGUGAACUUGAAGACAGAGCAAUGAAUAUGACCCAGCACAAUGUGAAGAAUGGUGCCAUAGUUUGGAUAUCUGUCCCCUCGGAAACUUAUGUUGAAACUUAAUCUCCAAUAUGGCAUAUCUAAAGGUUGAGUUUUUAAGAGGUGACUGCAUCAUGUUGGCUCUGCCCUCAUGAAUGGAUUAAUCCACUCAGGGAUUAACGAGUUAUCACAGGAGUGACAUUACUGGCUUCAUAAGAAAAAAGAGACCUGACCAAGCUCACCCUCUCAACGUGUGAUGCCCUGUACCACUGUGGGACUCUACAGAGCCUCACCAGCAAAAAGGCCCUCACCAGAUGCAGCCCCUCAACCUUGGAUUUCUCAGUCUCCAUAACUGAAAAAAAUAAAUUCCUUUUCUUUUAAAUUACACUGUUUUAGGUAUUCUGUUAUAAGCAACAGAAACAGACUAAGACAAACAGAAAUAAAAGCUAAAAUAUGAAAAGCACGAAUAGAGUACCAGGGACUGACUUGUUAAAUAAUACAAAACAAUGCAACAUAAAUCUAAUUAGAGUACCAGAAGAACAGAAAGGCAAUGGGGGAAAAGUAAUAUAUCUGAGGAAAUACCGACUGAAAAUGUCCCCAUCUGAUGAAAGACAGAAAUUUAAAGACACAAGAUGAUCAACAAACACCUAACAGAAUAAACAUGAAGUCCAUCAUAAUCAAAAAUUUCCACAUCAAAGGGAUGAGCAAAUCUUGAAAGCAGAAAGAGAAAAAUAACACAUUAAAUAAAGAAAAACAAUUCAGUUAGUGGGGUUGUCUCAUCAAAAGUCAAAGUGGCCAGAAGAGAGGGAAACAACAUCUUUCAAGUGGUCAAAGAAGAGGCUGAACAACUCAGAAUUCUGUAACUGGUGAACCUAUACUUAAAGAAUUAAUGGAAAAUAGAAAUAUUUUCAGAUAAAAGAUAAACUAGGGAAAUCAUUAUAAAAGUUUCUAAAGAAAGUCUUCAGACUGAAGAAAAUGAUAGCAGAUGGAAACUUGGAUUCUCAGAAAGGAAUGAAGAUCACUGGAAACUGCCUGCCGUAAGUUGUUUGAAAUCCAGUCAUAUCCAGUUAUUAUAUCUUCAGCUUCUUUAAAACUUCCCCUUCCCAUGCAAUGCAGACAGCUGGUUCCUCAUCUCACCAACCCCAGCAUCUCUCACAGCAGCUGACCACGAUGAAACCUGACCAAGCCCAGAGUCAGGUGCUGUGCCAUGCUGCCUUCUCUGUGUCUGGCCUGACCCACACACUGGCCUAACGCUGGGAGCCCUCCAGGCCAACUAGAGGAAAUUACAGCAGCAACUCUGGUUCUUAUGAAGAUUGCCUUCUCCACAUUAAUCCAAAAAAAAGAACACACACCCCCCAAUCCUAGAGUCAAGCCUGAAGGAAUGCAGCCUCACUGGAAUCACAGAAGUGAGCUCUGAUGUGCCAUGAUUCUCCUAUAGCAAUUUCCCCAGACCAACUGCAGAGAGAAAGGAAACUGGGUGCUCCGGCCACACUGCCAACAGGAUGCAGGCAACCAAUGACAUCUUCCUCAUUUGGCGUCAGCAAUUUAAUAAAAAUUAUCAAAAGUUUAUGCCAACAAA